CCUGGUAGCGGGGGAUAACUAUUGGAAACGAUAGCUAAUACCGCAUAACAGUAGAUAUUGCAUGAUAUCUGCUUGAAAGGUGCAAUUGCAUCACUACCAGAUGGACCUGCGUUGUAUUAGCUAGUUGGUGAGGUAACGGCUCACCAAGGCGACGAUACAUAGCCGACCUGAGAGGGUGAUCGGCCACACUGGGACUGAGACACGGCCCAG
rnacentral:rRNA from 1 species